AUUGAACGCUGGCGGCAUGCUUUACACAUGCAAGUCGAACGGUAACAGGCCUUCGGGUGCUGACGAGUGGCGAACGGGUGAGUAAUGCAUCGGAACGUACCCAGAGGUGGGGGAUAACGCAGCGAAAGCUGUGCUAAUACCGCAUGUGAUCUGAGGAUGAAAGCGGGGGACCGAGCAGCAAUGUUUGGCCUCGCGCCUUUGGAGCGGCCGAUGUCGGAUUAGCUAGUUGGUGGGGUAAAGGCCUACCAAGGCGACGAUCCGUAGCUGGUCUGAGAGGACGACCAGCCACACUGGGACUGAGACACGGCCCAGACUCCUACGGGAGGCAGCAGUGGGGAAUUUUGGACAAGGGGCGCAAGCCUGAUCCAGCAAUGCCGCGUGCGGGAAGAAGGCCUUCGGGUUGUAAACCGCUUUUGGCAGGAACGAAACGGUGUCCGCUAAUACCGGGCGCUAAUGACGGUACCUGCAGAAUAAGCACCGGCUAACUACGUG
rnacentral:rRNA from 1 species